GAUUUAACAAUCUGGACUGUUUUCUUUAAUUUGUGAAUCUGGGAUUUGGUGUCUGCGUUUGGACAGAAUCAAAAUGCUUUCCUUUGAUAGAAAGCAAGCAAGCAAGCGCAUCCUAUGAGGCUGGAGAGCCUGCUCGCCAAGCCCAGGAAACGCAGAGACUCAAGGAAGCCGAGCGGCAGAAGACCAAUAUAUCGGUGAUGCUGGCCCACGAACUCUAAGGACAGCUCCUGAAGAGGAGGGGGCGCCAGACGGAGGCUUCCACGUGAUUCCUGGACAAAUCUGUUUCCCCACAGAUGGUAGUGUUAAAUCGUCUAAAACAGACUCUGCACACCC
rnacentral:lncRNA from 1 species